CCGAAUAGAAGAAAAAGAUAAACUUCAUAAGAGCCACCCGAUUUGAUCCCCAAACUCACCCCUCUCUGUGUCUCGGCACCCACAGAGAACACACCCUAAACCUAAUCCGACCGCGCCGCCACCCCAGACCUGCACGCCGCCGCUCGUCCGCUGUUUCCCUCACCCCACAUCAUCUCCGACCCCGACCUCCCUCCAGCCCGUCCCCAUGACCUAGCAACAUCCAUCCAUGCCGCCGCAUCCGCAUGCUCCGGCGCACCGCCGCAGCCACACCCCGUCGUCCACCGCUGCACCCACGUCCCCUCCAACCUCCCCUCCACGACGCCUCGAUCUUGCCUCACAGACGCAACCCGCAUCUCUGAUCCCCCCUCCUAUCUGCCCUGCUCUAGAUUCGCCGAGCUUCACGCAUUUGCGGCCUCCCCUUUGUGUCUCCCUUCAUCGGCCUCCCUCCCCAAAGCGUUCCACACCACUGGCCUCCCUUCCUCCCCUUCAGCAGCUCACACGGGUUGGAGGGAGUCGUGUCGUCGCCCAUGGCAGUAGGGGCGACUAAGAAGACCUCAAACCCACUGGUUCCUCUCCCUGAUGAGCAAGUGUUCAAUUCCUCAAAUACCUAUUGUGUAGCAUUUGAUGAAUUAGAAGCAAAUUUCUUAUUUUGCUCCUGCAGGUUCGUUGGAGUUUGAUUUGUUCAUGGAGCAUAUUUGCUAGUUUCUAUAGUUGUACACAUGCCCUGGUUCGUGAGUGCAUAACAAGAACAAUUAGGAUUCGUUAGAUAUAAUUGUGAAGCAGCUAGUUUAAUAAUUCCCGUGAGAUGCAAGCAGGAUGUUAAUUUGAUCUUUAAUGGAAGAUGUUAGUAGGGGAUAUUGCAAGCAGAGUUCCUCGAAAAAAUAUUGCAAGCAAAUGCUAGUCCGGUCAUUAUCCAGCCUGCUUACAAUAGCAAUAAACAUGGGAUGUUCUAGCUUCCUACACUAGUUAGAUCAAUGGAGUAAUAACAUGUUAUCUCAUUUGCAUUUUAUUUUAUGUUAUUUCCUGAUUUUGAACACUUGUGUGCUCAUUCUUUGUUAUUUCCUGAUUUUGAACUAACAUGUGAGGAACCAACUGAUAACUCUUGUGUGCCAGUGGACAAGUCCAUGUCUUUCAUGGAAGGUGCUUGGUUGAUUUUGAUCAACUAAUUAAUUUUAAUGUGUUUUUAGUAUUAGACAAUUUUUAUACUGCAAUCUUUAAUGAUGUUAUAAAUUUAGAAUAACUAUAUUUUGGACAUCUGAACUGGAAAGACACAUUGGUUGAUUCCUUCUUUGUUGCUUGUAGAAUUUGAACUACCAUGACAGGAACUAACCUUUAAUUCUUAUGUGCUCCUUGAUAAGGCCAUGGGUUUCAUGGGAGGUGUUUGGCUGCUUUGUUCGUGGGAUAUUAGCAAAGGAAGGGCACAUUCAUAUAUGGAAAAAAAUUAUGGAGACAACGUGAUACGACAGGGACACGGUGGGGAUACGACCCGACACAAAAACAGCCCAAAACACAGCCUUGGACCAAACGAAACCCUAUUUUGCAGGGGUCGCACGCAGCUCUCGACAUAACAAGAAGGAGCUCCUAGGUCCCGGUCUCUUCUGGAUAGAAGUCAUCACCUGUUGGAGCGACGCUGUUGCCGCCUGCAUUCGCCACCACCAUCAUCGACAUCGCUUGGAAUCGAUCGGAGACUGCUACCCCAACGGCAACAACCUCUUCUUCUUCUCCCGAU